rnacentral:rRNA from 1 species
UUAAGCUACAAAGGGCAUACGGUGGAUGCCUAGGCAUUGAGAGUCGAUGAAGGACGCGGUAAGCUGCGAAAAGGUAUGGGGAGCCGCAAGCAGGCAAUGAUCCAUACAUCUCCGAAUGGGGCAACCCGGUACGAGUCAUGUCGUACCAUCCUACGGGAGGAUAACCCGGUGAACUGAAACAUCUAAGUAGCCGGAGGAAGAGUAAUCAAACGAGAUUCCCAUAGUAGCGGCGAGCGAACAGGGAAGAGCCCAAACCCGUUGUCUUCGGACGACGGGGGUUGAGGACCAGCAUAAAUCAAAGAAGUGUUAGAAGAAAGGCAUGGGAAGGCCUGGCGCAGAGGGUGAGACCCCCGUAUUUAAAAACAUUUCGAGAGGGCUGGUAUCCAGAGUACCACGAGACACGUGAAACCUUGUGGGAAGCAGGGUGGACCACCAUCCAAGGCAAAAUACUACUCAAUGACCGAUAGCGCAUAGUACCGUGAGGGAAAGGUGAAAAGUACCCCUGGAGGGGAGUGAAAUAGAACCUGAAACCGUAUGUCUACAAGCAGUCGAAGCACUUUAUAUGUGCGACGGCGUGCCUAUUGAAGAAUGAACCGGCGAGUUAUCCGUUGUGGCGAGGUUAAGUGGAAGACACGGAGCCGAAGCGAAAGCGAGUCUUAAUAGGGCGGCAAGUCACAGCGGGUAGACCCGAAACCACAGUGAUCUAUGCAUGGCCAGGUUGAAGCUCAGGUAAAAAUGAGUGGAGGACCGAACCCGUGAGUGUUGAAAAACUUUGGGAUGAGCUGUGCAUAGGGGUGAAAUGCCAAUCGAACGUGGAGAUAGCUGGUUCUCCCCGAAAUAGCUUUAGGGCUAGCCUCAGGGAAUGCACAUAGACGGUAGAGCUCUGAUCGGGCUAGGGGGCGUAAAGCCUACCGACCCCAGUCAAACUGCGAAUGGCUAUGUGAGAAGAACCUGGGAGUCAGACUGCGAGUGAUAAGACCCGUAGUCAAGAGGGAAACAGCCCAGACCGCCGACUAAGGUCCCGAAUGCUGUACUAAGUGGAAAAGGAUGUAGGACUUCAGAAACAACCAGGAUGUUGGCUCAGAAGCAGCCACCAUUUAAAGAGUGCGUAAUAGCUCACUGGUCGAGAGGCCCUGCGCCGAAAAUAUCCGGGGCUCAAGUACAGAACCGAAGUCGCGGCAUGGUAUGUCAUACACAGAGCGUCUAUGAAAGCAAUGAGGAUAUUUUGUCCGAACGAAGUGAGGACUAAAUACUCUUGUGGGGUUCGUACAGAACCGAUAGAUGUUGUGUGUAUGGCAUACCUUGGGUAGGGGAGCGUUGAAACAGCGGAGAAGGCGUACCGGAAGGAGCGCUGGAGCGGUUUCAAGAGAGAAUGCCGGUAUGAGUAGCGAAAAGGACGGUGAGAAUCCGUCCCACCGAAAGCCUAAGGUUUCCUGAGCAACGCUCGUCGACUCAGGGUAAGUCGGGACCUAAGCCGAGGCAGCAAGCAUAGGCGAUGGACAACAGGCUAAUAUUCCUGUACCCGCAGGUUUUGUUUGAGCAAUGGAGUGACGCAGGAGAAAGUGGGAGCUGGCUGCUGGAUUAGCCAGUCGAAGGCUGCAGGCUGCGGAGGAGGCAAAUCCCUUCCGUAACGGCUCAGAGCUGAUAGAUAGAUUUUCCUUCGGGGAGUCAAAUUUCCAUGAAUCACACUGCCGAGAAAAGCUUCUAGUGAGAAACUUGUGGCCCGUACCAAAACCGACACAGGUAGGCGGGGAGAGUAUCCUAAGGUGCGCGGGAAAACCCUCGUUAAGGAACUCGGCAAAAUGCAUCCGUAACUUCGGGAUAAGGAUGACCGGAGCUGGUGAACUCCCUGCGGAGGAAGCUGGAGCCGGUGGCAGAAGAGAGGCCCAAGCGACUGUUUACCAUAAACACAGGUGCCUGCUAAAGAGAAAUCUGACGUAUAGGUGCUGACACCUGCCCGGUGCUGGAAGGUUAAGAGGAGGAGUCAGGCUAAGGCUGAAGCUCUGAAUUGAAGCCCCAGUAAACGGCGGCCGUAACUAUAACGGUCCUAAGGUAGCGAAAUUCCUUGUCGGGUAAGUUCCGACCCGCACGAAAGGUGUAACGAUUUGGGCACUGUCUCAACGAGGGACCCGGUGAAAUUGAAGUACCUGUGAAGAUGCAGGUUACCCGCGACUGGACAGAAAGACCCCAUGGAGCUUUACUGCAGCUUGGCAUUGAUCUUUGGCAUGUAAUGUACAGGAUAGGUGGGAGACUUGGAAGCAGGGACGCAAGUCACUGUGGAGUCGCUGUUGGGAUACCACCCUUUGCAUGCUAGGGAUCUAACCCUGGGACUAACAAAACCGGGGACAGUGCCAGGCGGGCAGUUUGACUGGGGCGGUCGCCUCCGAAAGAGUAACGGAGGCGUCCAAAGGUUCCCUCAGCGCGGACAGAAAUCGCGCGAAGAGUAUAAAGGCAGAAGGGAGCUUGACUGCGAGACUGACGGGUCGAGCAGGUACGAAAGUAGGGCUUAGUGAUCCGGUGGAAUGAAAGUGGAAUUGCCAUCGCUCAACGGAUAAAAGCUACCCUGGGGAUAACAGGCUAAUCUCUCCCAA